rnacentral:lncRNA from 1 species
GUUGUUUCUUAGAUAUGAGUGUUAAUUUGAAUUAAGGUCAAUGUUUUUUCCUAAAGAUACAAAAUGUAUACAUGUAGUAGUUUUGCAUAACAUAUUUGUAGUAUAAAAUAAAUAUUUAGAUGAUUGUUUUGUUAUGACAGAGAUUGGGUUAUUUGCUGUUAACACCAUUAUCAACAGUUUUGAUAAAUUCAUUCGAAGAAUUUCUAAUGUUGAAUAAUAAUAAGCACAUUUUAAUAUAUCUUAUAAAGCACUUUGAAGUAUGAAAAAAACUCAAUGUUUUAUUGAUGCUAAUUUUCGUGAUUCUCACAGGGUCAUAUCAUUUUCGAAGAAUAAAGUUUUGCAUUGUAAGUAUGUGACUUGAAGUAAAUUAUUUAUGUGAUAUGAAGUUUUAUUGUUUAAAGGGAAGUAAUAGAUCAUGAGUUAAUUAUCAAAAUUAUAUGUGAAAUCAUUGUGUAUCAAUUUAUACUAGAUAUAAUGCUACACAGGAAACUUUAUUGGCAGGUUUCCAGGUCUCUGUAUGUGCAUACAUAUUGUUAAAAAUAUAAAAAAAAAAAAACAACUACAUGUACACUUGAUUACAUUAUUAUUUUGUUUCAUUGCUUUUUCAUGUCCAACACUACCUUGUCAAAAGAUAUACACUUAAUUGCUGCAUUUGGUUUUUAUCUUACUAAGUUUACAUUUACAAAUUGCAGUAUCUAACAUGCUUAAGUGUUGUCAAUUUGGUGGUAUUUAUUGUUAUUUUUCAUUUUCAAACUUAGGAUGAGUGUUAUCAAGUAAUGACUUCACCCAAAACAUAAACAAAUAUAUGUUCAUAAUAAAUUCACUGGGGUUCCCUCCCUUUUUUUAGCUCACCUGACCUGAAAGGUCAAGUGAGCUUUUCUCAUCACUUGGCGUCCGUCGUCCGUCCUCCUCCGUCCGUCGUCUUGCGUCCGUUGUCCGUAAACUUUUACAAAAAUCUUCUCCUCUGAAACUACUGGGCCAAAUUUAACCAAACUUGGCCACAAUCAUCCUUGGGGUAUCUAGUUUAAAAAAUGUGUCCGAUGACCUGGCCAUCAAACUAAGAUGGCCGCCAUGGCUAAAAAAAGAACGCAGGGGUAAAAUGUAUAUUUUAGCUUAUAUCUUUAAAACCAAAGCAUUUAGAAAAAAUCUGACAUUGGGUAAAAUUGUUGAUCAGGUCAAGAUCUAUCUGCCCUAAAAUUUUCAGACGAAUCGGACAACCUGUUGUUGGGUUGCUGCCCCUGAAUUGGUAAUUUUAAGGAAAUGUUGCAGUUUUUGGUUAUUAUCUUGAAUACUAUUAUAGAUAGAAAUAAACUGUAAACAGCAAUAAUGUUUAGUAAAGUAAGAUCUACAAAUAAGUCAACUUGACCAAAAUUGUCAGAGAACCCCUUAAGGAGUUAUUGUCGUUUAUAGUCAAUAUUGAACAACUUUUUUUCAUUUUUGUAACUUGUACAAAAAUCUUCUUUUCUAAAACUAUGGGCCAAAUUUAACCAAACUUGGCCACAAUCAUUACUAGGGUAUCUAUUUUAAAAAAAGUGUCUAAUGACCCGCCUACCAACCAAGAUGGCCGACAUCAGUAAAUACAGUAACAGGUGAGCGACACAGGCUCUUGAGAGCCUCUAGUUUAAAAUUUUUAGAUAUAUAAAAAUAAUUGUCUGUCAGUGAAAAAAAAGUCUAGUGUUUAGAUCCUAGGAUCUUAAUAUGAAAGAAAAAUUAAAAUUUUGAUAAAUUGGUUCUGACAUUUUAUACUCCCCUAGAUUUUUAGACACCCAAUAAUACUUUUUUAAUCUCAACAUUUAGUACAAUGAUUUAACAUGUAAAUAAACUCAUGGCAGUAUUAUGAAUAUAUUUAAUGUGAUAUACAUGUGGUAGUUAGGUAUAUUAGAGUAUUAAUUUAUAUCAUUAUGUACUUAAUGUGAAUGUAAAUUCCCAUUAUGUAAAUUAAAAAAAAACUUCAAAAGAAGACAUGGUUGAAACUAGCCUUGUUUUAAUUUGGUGGAGCCAUAAUAGUGUCACAUAUAAUAGAGCACCUGAGAUCCCC